rnacentral:pre_miRNA from 1 species
CUAUAUGGGCCUGAUGCAGAACCUGUUGAAAUCAACGGAAGUUUUUCUGUUGAUUGCAAUGGGCUUUGCAUCAGGCCAUAUAAA